GUACCUGAAUGCAGCAUGUAAGACUCACGACGUUUUUGACGGUGGCAUUGUUCAUGGCGGUAGUGUUAUCUUCACUAUUAAAAUCGCCGCUUUGUUUUAACGCGGACAAAAUGCUAUAUAUUCGCCUAAUGCUAUAAUCCGUUUUUUUUUUAAUAAAACGCAUAACGUUAAACAGCUCGACAUUUCAGUUUUACAUUCACGCACGGUGCUAGCAGUAAGCUAGCUAGCUUAGCAGUCUUCAAAAUGAGUUCCACAACGCACGUCAUUCAGGUGACAAAUGUCUCCCCGAGCACAGCAUCCGACCAAAUGAGAACUCUGUUUGGAUUCCUGGGAAACAUUGAAGAGCUCAAACUGUUUCCACCCGAUGACUCUCCCUUGCCUGUGACCUCACGUGUCUGUUUUGUAAAGUUCCUUGAACCUGAGUCAGUGGGAGUUUCACAGCACCU